UGAGGGGGGCUGCUCCUAGUACGAGAGGACCGGAGUGGACGCAUCACUGGUGUUCGGGUUGUCAUGCCAAUGGCACUGCCCGGUAGCUAAAUGCGGAAGAGAUAAGUGCUGAAAGCAUCUAAGCACGAAACUUGCCCCGAGAUGAGUUCUCCCUGACUCCUUGAGAGUCCUGAAGGAACGUUGAAGACGACGACGUUGAUAGGCCGGGUGUGUAAGCGCAGCAAUGCGUUGAGCUAACCGGUACUAAUGAACCGUGAGGCUUAACCUU
rnacentral:rRNA from 1 species